UAUCAUGCAGUCGAGCGAACAGAGAAGGAGCUUGCUCCUUCGACGUUAGCGGCGGACGGGUGAGUAACACGUGGGCAACCUACCUUAUAGUUUGGGAUAACUCCGGGAAACCGGGGCUAAUACCGAAUAAUCUGUUUCACCUCAUGGUGAAACACUGAAAGACGGUUUCGGCUGUCGCUAUAGGAUGGGCCCGCGGCGCAUUAGCUAGUUGGUGAGGUAACGGCUCACCAAGGCGACGAUGCGUAGCCGACCUGAGAGGGUGAUCGGCCACACUGGGACUGAGACACGGCCCAGACUCCUACGGGAGGCAGCAGUAGGGAAUCUUCCACAAUGGGCGAAAGCCUGAUGGAGCAACGCCGCGUGAGUGAAGAAGGAUUUCGGUUCGUAAAACUCUGUUGUAAGGGAAGAACAAGUACAGUAGUAACUGGCUGUACCUUGACGGUACCUUAUUAGAAAGCCACGGCUAACUACGUGCCAGCAGCCGCGGUAAUACGUAGGUGGCAAGCGUUGUCCGGAAUUAUUGGGCGUAAAGCGCGCGCAGGUGGUUUCUUAAGUCUGAUGUGAAAGCCCACGGCUCAACCGUGGAGGGUCAUUGGAAACUGGGAGACUUGAGUGCAGAAGAGGAUAGUGGAAUUCCAAGUGUAGCGGUGAAAUGCGUAGAGAUUUGGAGGAACACCAGUGGCGAAGGCGACUAUCUGGUCUGUAACUGACACUGAGGCGCGAAAGCGUGGGGAGCAAACAGGAU
rnacentral:rRNA from 1 species